UUCCACUCUAGACAGAGCAAAAAGUUUGCGCCAAAUUUUUUGACUCUCACGAAAAAACUCAAUUUUUUCCACAAAAACUUUGUGAAUUUUAUAAAAUUCUUUUGGAAAGAAAUUUAUCAAUAUUCAUUGUUGCUAAAUUGAUAGGAAUAUCAUUUGGAGUGGAUGGAGUUUUGCAGGAACAAGCGUAAAUAAAUUUGACAGCUUCGGGGAAGGUCAAACAAAGAAAAAAGCUGGUCAGCAUGUCAGAUUCGGAUGAUUUUGAGGAGGACUCUGUGGAGGACUUUUCUGCCAGUGAGGAUGAGUGGAAACCUUCGAAAAGGGAUGCUUCCACAAGCGAUGAGGAUGAUGCUUUCGAAGAGGAUGAUGAGGAUGAAUCCAGCAGCAGGGGCACAAAGAGAAAACGUCCUGGAAAAGCAGGAGGACGAUCAAAUGCUGGUCCAGCUAAGAAAAGGCCUUCAUUGAGGGCAAAGCUGUUCAGGAAGUAUAAACCACCACCGAAGACAGUCAAAAGUCCUCCUGGACCACCAAGAAUCAUUCCGGGUACAAUUCAGGAGAUUUUGGAACGAUCGCGGUAUGAGAAGAGCAAAAAAGCCGCUGAUUCCGAUGAUUCCGGGAGUAGUGGUGAUGAGCAUCUUGUGCCGGCGAGUGAGCUAGAUCUCGGAUCGGAUUUCUUCAGUACAAAGGAUCAAAAGGCAGCAACUCCUCCGCCCAAUUUUGACUGCAACAUCGGUACAAGGCUGUCAGAUUCCGAAGAGGAUGAUGAAGAGCCCAAGGACACCAAGAUUAUGUCCACCAUUGUCUCGAGAAUCAAUCAAACAUCCUCCAAAUCUGUUGAUUUCAAGAAACUCUCGGACUUUACGGAGAAGAAACCAACAGUGGGUGCUGGAAAGGAUAAAGGGACUGCUGAUAAUUUGGAUAUUUCCUCCCUUUUGGCCAUGGGAGAGUCCGGCAGUACCGAAAAGAAGACAUCCAAGUCCCGGAAACGACCAGCACCGAGAGAUUCAGACUCUGAUUGGGAAGAAGUUGAAGAUUGGGAGCAUCCGCAGGAGGAGGGAAUCCCUGCUGGUGGGAUUGUCGUGGAACUUCCUGGGGAAUUUAAACGGCGUACACGGAAGGAAAUUGAUUUGGAGGCCUGUCUGAAGCGGAAGCUCAAUCGACAGAUUAAGGAGAAUCAGGUUUACCUCCAUAGGGUUAGUAUUCUCUGCUUCCUGGCUACUGGGAAUUAUCUCAAUGGUGUUCUGUGUAAGGGGAAGCUCCUGGAUGCAGCCAUAAAGCUUCUGCCGAGUCAAAAUAGCUAUCCACGGAAGAAUGGGGCGGACACGCAGUACUUCCAGCACAUGACAAGCUGGUUUAGGGGUGCUCUCAAAGUGAACAGCCCUAAAAUGUACGGGAAACUUACGACGGUGAAGCUCUCAGAGCAGCUCGACGAGGAGAUCCGCACACGCCAAGUUUCUUGUUUCCGGAAUUUUAUUCUUAUCUUCCUCCUUCUGCUCCGGGGGAUGGCUAUUGAUUCCCGAUUGGUACUUAACUUUACUGGGCAUCCCCUGAGGCCACUUCCCAGCCAACUCUGUCGGAUCUCUGCAAAACCCAAAGUGGAGAAGGAUGAGAAAAUCCAAGUGGGUGGGAAAAAAGCUAAAAUUGAAGAGAAAUCCCCUCAGGCUGGAAGCUCAAAGGCUCCUGCUACAAAUGGGAAAGUCUCAAAAGUUAAUCUGGAAAAGGUGUCCAAAAGUGUGAAGGCCAAAGGGAAGAAUGUGCUCCCGGAAAAAACUCUCAGGGACAAUGGGAAAGUCCUCAGAAGUCAUGGGGCAAAAAUUAUUAAGAGAAUACCUUCAGAAAAUACGCCUGAUAAGCAAUUUGAAGAAUCCCCACGGAAAAUUUCUCCAGAAAACGAAGUAUCUCCGAGGAAAACACGCUCGCAGAUGAAGGCACAAACAUCCCAAGCACCCAAUUUGACUAAGCUGAAGAAAGCAUCCGGAAAAGUGCAGAAGAAGGACCAAAAGAAGGCAGCUACAGAGGAAAUUCCUCCCACGUCACCUCCAGUUGUAAAAGUCGAAACAUCUCCACAGCCAUCAACAUCACGACAGGUAUUCCAGAAGAGAGAUGGGCGACUCUUUGCCCCAGAAGCUGUAAUCCCGCGCAAAUACAAACCCAAUGCAAUUGAUCGUCGUGUCUUCUCGUCCGACAGUGAUGAUUGGACACGCGAAAGGAAGCGCAAGGAGGAUAAGAUGGACAUUUGGGUGGAAGUAUGGUCGGAUAAGGAGAAAAAAUGGCUCACAGUGGAUCUAUUUAAUGGGCAUGUGGGUAAAACGGAUAAAACCACGCAGACGGCAUCACAGCCCGUAGCGUACGUAUUUGCAUGGCAUGCUGAUAAGACGGUGAAGGAUGUUUCACCGCGGUACUGCCCCCAAUGGAAUACAACCACGAGGAAGUUUCGAAUUGAUCCUAUAUGGCUGGAGGAGAGCCUUAAACCCUUCAUGGGACGCAAGACACGUCGUGAUAAGGAUGAAGAUCGCGAACUGGAUAAACUUCAUCUCGAUAAGCCACUCCCGAAGACAAUUUCGGAAUUUAAAGAUCAUCCUCUGUAUGUCUUGGAGAGGCAUCUUCUGAAAUUUCAAGCUCUCUAUCCACCUAAUCCACCACCCUUGGGGUACAUCCGGAAGGAGCCUAUCUAUGCCCGAGAAUGCGUUCAUACCCUGCAAACGCGUGAACGAUGGCACAAAGAGGCACGUGUUGUAAAGCCCGAACAGACAGCAUACAAAAUUGUCAAGACACUCAAAUGGGACAAGUACACCAGUACCAUCCUGAAGGAUCAACCUCUGGAGAUUUUUGGAAUUUGGCAGACAACCCCAUACGUACCUCCAGUGGCCAAAGAUGGCGUUGUGCCACGCAAUGAAUAUGGGAAUGUGGAGCUCUUCAAGGAUUGCAUGUUGCCUAAGAAUACGGUACAUUUGCGUCUUCCGGGUGUCAAUAAAAUCUGCAAGCGUCUCAAUAUUGAUUGCGCUCCGGCCAUUGUGGGUUUUGACUUCCACUCGGGCUGGUCCCAUCCAACCUACGAUGGUUUUGUCAUUUGCAAGGAAUUCGAGGAUACCGUCUUGGAUGCAUGGAAUGCAGAACAAGAUGAGGCAGAACGCAAAGAGGUGGAGAAACGCGAGAAACGUGUCUACGGGAAUUGGCGCAAACUCAUCAAAGGGCUCCUUAUUAAGGCAAGACUUCAGGCUAAAUACAAUUUCAGGCAGGAAGCAGCCUAAGUCCCACCCCUGCGCUAGCAGCCGGAAUUUCCAGAAAAGGGCAUCACUACGCGGGUCAUUUGCUCGCGUGCGGAAAACUCCAUCAAAGUCUAUCAAUUGAUUGAUGGCGACAGCAUAGUUUUUCUUUUAGAGAAUUGAUUACUCGUCAGCUCAUAAAGCAUUCACAUUUAAUAUUCAAUCACAUCAUCUUCCCCGACGAUCAUCUCUCGACGGCCGCCACCCAGAGAGGUUUCUAGGCCAGAACUUCCUGUCGCAGAGGCGCAUGAGUGCGACAGUUUGUGAUUGAGAAAAACAACACCAUCAGCGUGAAAGAAGGAAGCCUCCGGCGAGAAGUUUUGCGAUUAUAGAACAUGACCUAACACAUGCAUUCUUCACAUUUGCACUCCCUCCUCCAGCUGUGUGUACCCUCGAGCACUUUUGCACCUGAGUAUACAUAGCUAAAAAGGCGGCCGGGCCCUCUUCACCCUGCAGGUACGCGUUGAGCUCGAAUGACCACCGCGAAGCCCUUGUGUGCCUGUGGUUGUGUAUUGAAAUCGAAAAUUGCCCGCGUUUUCCACACUCGCGAGCAACCGUUGAUUGUCUGAUACGGUGGAUGUUCUUUUUUUUCGUGUAUUGGCUCUCCGUUUUACCUGGGCACGACACAAAUCGUCGGGUGUAAGAACAGCUGCUGUGGCACGAUUGCGCGCUUUGAGUGUACUUUAGUCACCAUUUGAGCCUCCAGUUGGCUUGUUUCGCGCUGCAAUUUCACUCCGCGGGGAGGCCCUAUUGCGCGCCACACAAUUCAUAUACCCUACACCAGGAAAAUCCUCCAAAUUUCGCGCGUGUAUCCCUCUCUAAUUGUAACACCUUGUGGGGAUUUACAGUGGUGGUCAUUUGACAAGAAAGAAAAAAAAUUUGUGGUGCUUUUAAUUGAAAUUUUUACACGUGCAAAUUGAUGGAUUUUUCUUCCUCAUUCGUGGAUGUCAUUGAGGAAGAAAAAAAAGAAAGAAUUCUUCACUAAAAAAAAAGAAUUCUCAGCUGUGUGUG